AUUGAACGCUGGCGGCAUGCCUUACACAUGCAAGUCGAACGGCAGCAUGGAGAGCUUGCUCUCUGAUGGCGAGUGGCGAACGGGUGAGUAAAGCAUCGGAACGUACCGUGUAGUGGGGGAUAACGUAGCGAAAGUUACGCUAAUACCGCAUACGCACUGAGGUGGAAAGCAGGGGAUCGCAAGACCUUGCGCUAUACGAGCGGCCGAUGUCAGAUUAGCUAGUUGGUAGGGUAAAGGCCUACCAAGGCGACGAUCUGUAGCGGGUCUGAGAGGAUGAUCCGCCACACUGGGACUGAGACACGGCCCAGACUCCUACGGGAGGCAGCAGUGGGGAAUUUUGGACAAUGGGGGCAACCCUGAUCCAGUCAUGCCGCGUGAGUGAAGUAGGCCUUCGGGUUGUAAAGCUCUUUCGGCCGGGAAGAAAUCGCACAGGCUAAUACUCUGUGUGGAUGACGGUACCGGCAUAAGAAGCACCGGCUAACUACGUGCCAGCAGCCGCCGUAA
rnacentral:rRNA from 1 species